rnacentral:rRNA from 1 species
UCGGGAAUUUUGGGCAAUGGGGGAAACCCUGACCCAGCAACGCCGCGUGAAGGAUGAAGUAUUUCGGUAUGUAAACUUCGAAAGAAUAGGAAGAAUAAAUGACGGUACUAUUUAUAAGGUCCGGCUAACUACGUGCCAGCAGCCGCGGUAAUACAGGGGGUGCGAGCGUUAAUCGGAAUUACUGGGCGUAAAGGGCGCGUAGGCGGUCGAGUAAGUCGGAUGUGAAAUCCCCGGGCUUAACCUGGGAAUUGCAUUCGAUACUGCUUGGCUAGAGUGUGGAAGAGGGAAGCGGAAUUUCCGGUGUAGCGGUGAAAUGCGUAGAUAUCGGAAGGAACACCAGUGGCGAAGGCGGCUUCCUGGUCCAACACUGACGCUGAGGCGCGAAAGCGUGGGGAGCAAACAGGAUUAGAUACCCUUGUAGUCCCUGAGCGGGCUGGCAAGGCGCAU